rfam:Rhodococcus fascians strain 1168 contig547, whole genome shotgun sequence.
UGUUCUGACACGGGGUGCGUCCGUACAUGCGGAUGCUGAGAUCACACCCGUCGAACCUGAUGCAGGUAAUGCUGACGAAGGGAUGUCAAGGCGAUGACUG